rnacentral:lncRNA from 1 species
UAGGCGGGACUUCCGCGUCUCUGCAGGCCAGCUUGGAGACCGCAGGGAAAGGAGAGGAGUUUUUUCACCAUUCUUUGGAGGGGAAAAAGGUGACCAGCCAUGUGAGAUCUCUUGCGGAGUAGCCAUAGGCUGCUUCUAUAGGUGGAAAGUGGUAACAGUUCCUUGGUGUGUACCUCCCUUAAGACUUGUACCAAGAAAGCCGGGCAGAGGUUAUCAGCUGUGGAACUGGGACCUAUGCAAGGAAGAGAGCUGCCCUGCUGUAAGACCACAGGAACAAUGGUUGACAACCAACCUAUCUUCCAACCAGGCUUCCAGCCUGCAAAUAAAUGAAGUGCCAGCAAUAGCUUCACUCUCCAGAAUUAGAACCAUGCUGCAAACUGCUCUUAAGCUCCUAAACCCGAAUAACAGGGGUGGGGGAUGGAGUGGGGGGGGGGGCACAGCAAGGCAGAGGAAAUCUUCGGAAAAACAUGCUGCCGUGAAACAUUCUUACACAGCACCAGUAAAACUCACUCAGAGGAUAACUAACACACACACCGGAUAAAUUGCCAAAGCGACAGAUUUGGAACCCAGAAUGUCAUGGCUUCUAGAAGAACACAAGGAAAAAAAAUGUUUUACAAUAGAAAAAGUUUCCAACUGGCGCUUGGGGUAAACCACAGUCUGUAGAAAUCCAGGAGUAAAUUUGGUGAGAGGUCAGAUAAAACAGGGAAGGCAAGCAAGGAGGCGGGGAUGGUAAGGGGAGGAGAAUACUGUGUGACACCCAGGAGGCAGCCAGAGAGCCAGGAUGCACCAGGGAGACUGGAUCGUUGAAAUGAAGAAGAAAGGGAGGCAGGUUUGUGAAAGCUAAAAAAACAAAAACAAAAACAAAAAACGGCACCAGAACAAGAAAGACUUCACUCAGAAGAGGCACUGUGGGUAGACAGAAAUGCUAUGUGUUGGAGAGGACGUGGCCCCUCCCACCCAAGGCUCAUUCUUGUGGGGAAGGCAUUGGUACCUAAGGCAGUGUUCAGGGCUAAGGUUCUGGGAAAUGGGAACAGAUCCAUGAGGACACUGACGUAAUCAAUGGGAUGAGCUACUGAAGGGACCAGUAGUGAGUGGUAACAAUCCUGGAAGGUGGGAGCUGAUUGGAGGAGAGAAAGGUGGGAGCUGAUUGGAGGAGAGGCAGGUCUAAGAAAGGUCAUUAAGACCUUUGAAGGGUGUGACCUCUCCUUGGCCUUUCCUCACUCUGUCUCUCUCUGUCCCCAACCAGCAGCUUCUUCUCUCCAAUCCCCUGUCACCCUGAUGCUCGGUCUCACUGCAGGCCCAUUGCAAUAAAACCAGCUGACC